GAUGAAGAAUGCAGCGAAAUGCGAUACUUGGUGUGAAUUGCAGAAUCCCGUGAACCAUCGAGUCUUUGAACGCAAGUUGCGCCCGAAGCCACUAGGCCGAGGGCACGCCUGCCUGGGCGUCACACGCCGUUGCCCCCCCAUCUACUCCUUCGGGAUUGCGGGGGGGCGGAUGAUGGCCUCCUGUGCGCCUAGCCGCGCGGUUGGCAUAAAUACCAAGUCCUCGGCGACGCACGCCACGACAAUCGGUGGUUGCGAAACCUCGGUUGCCCGUCGUGUGCGUUCGUCGCGCAUCGAGGGCUCGAAAAAAUGCUCGGCUCCGGCUGGGCUUUCAACGCGACCCCAGGUCAGGCGGGGUUACCCGCUGAAUUUAAGCAUAUCAAUAAGCGGAGGA
rnacentral:misc_RNA from 1 species